AGACCAGGGUCAUCUUGCUGUUUUCCUGUCACUACAGCCCAGAGCCUGGGGCUGUAGAGGAAGAUGCUCAGGAGACAGGGUGGAUGUGACUAGGGGAGCAAGCUGAGGAUCAGGAGGCCAUUUGCUAGGCAACGGUCUGUAUAUGGCAGCGGAUACUGACUAACUGCAUGAGGUGCAACCAAGCAGCAGUGUGACCCAGUAAGAGACCUGAUGGAAGCGGCAGCCAGAGCGACUGUGAUCCGCCUGAGAUGUGCCUAAGGAAAGAUUCAGUUCUCAAUUCGGGCUUCAAAAAACAAGCAUCAGGGGAACUGGAGCUGGAGGGAGCUAAGCUGGCUGGAGAUGAUUUGCAUUUAAAGAGAAAGUAGCCCUCUUUGGAUUCCCUGGGAGCGGAGCCGGAGGAGAGUACUUCCGUCGAUUUAACAGUUCCCCUUCCCUACCUCCCACAAGAACUAAAGGAGCACUGUUAGUUACGGGAUAUGGAUUUAAAAUCAUUUCCUUUUCUUGUCACGUUUGGAGGGGAUCCCUUACAAAAUGGUGGUGGCUUUGUUUGCAGCAGGGGUGGUAGGGAAAUGAUGGGGCUAAAUGAAUGUGUGGGCAGAGGCAAUAUAUAAGUAUACGGGAAAAUGAGGGGCGGACACCAGAAGGAACAAAGACAAUCAGUACCCAGCACCCUGUUAAGCCUUUUAUGUACAUUCAAUCCUGAGACAUAACUGUUAUCCCGAUUUUACGGAAAAUAAUCAAUUGUCACUCAUUCCUGGGCACGGUCGCUGUCCUGUGACAUCCAGAUACUCCUAGCCUGUAAGCGCUGAAGAACUGACAGGGCCUCUCCCCACCUCCGAACCAGAGCAAAUAGGAUCCCAAGCAGGCUGGCAGGAGGUGGGGCGUGAGAGCUCCGGAAGGAGGCUGGCCCAGAACUGUUGGCGGUUGUGCUGCUGGAGGAGGGAGGUCCCACCAAUGAGGCUAUUUGAAGAUCUGGCAGAGGAGUCUGGUUCAGAUCUCCAGAACAGCAUCCGAUGCCACAGGAGAGGGUGUCAGGCUGCCCAGCAGGCUCAAAUUAAAGCGACCUAGGCAACAAAGCAUCCAUCUUCCCUUUUCCUUUAGCAACAACAGUAGGUUUCCCUGGCUGUGGGCACCCAGAGGUGUUGCUUCUGGGAUCUUUUCCAGGUGCUGUUAACAUGCAAACUGCUCUAGGAAGCAACUCUAAUCCAAGACUUCUAAACAACCAAGAACCGGAGGGAGGGGAGCACGCUGGAAGGUCCCUUUCCUCUCAGAAUUGCUGCUGGAGCAGGGUGCCAGCUUCGUUCAUCAAAGUGACAGUGGGCCCAGGAGCACCCGGGGUUGCCACCUUCAGCUGCUUCCCUGAGGAGCCAGAAGCUUUUGCGGAGCCACUUGCGCUUGCAAGCUCCUGAUGCGGAGGCAGGAAAGGAAUCCUCUCCACCCCUACUGGAGGACUUUUAGAAUCAAUUUGUCUACCGCUUCUGGCUAGAAGGAAUCAAGGGACAGCCCCUAUAAAGCUGAGCAGUUCCAUCUUUUCUGCCCAACCAACCCAGAGACCUGGUGCUGGCUGAGGCCACCUACAGUGUCCCUUAGAGGAAACCAGCUGAAUUAGGGAACUACUAAGGCCGCGCGCAUGCGCAUUUCCCCAGGAGGGCGAGAGCACAGACCCAGUAGCUUCCUACCCCUUACUCAGCUGUGUGAACACCUUCCUUCAAUAGGUCCUCAAGGCCCUCUGGGUCUGCUCUGAACUCCUAAGGAACACCUAAACACAAACCUCAUCUCUCCCCUCACCCUCCUGGGCACCUGUCUCACUAGUCUGCUUCUGCCUUUGGGUUAAAGGCAUGUUCUCCCACACUAGGUUCAACUGAGUAUUGGAUGAGGUCAUGACUUGUCUGUCCUUCUCAGGACUUCUGCUUUAAAGCUUUGUUUCCUCUCAGUAGCUACGUUUUUUUUUAAAAAUUACAUGUAUUAUAUGAGCACCAGUGCAUGAGUGGCGGUGGGUGUCAAGCUGUAUAUAUGGAGAACAAAAGGCAACUUGAAGGAGCAGAUCCUCUCUAGCAUCUGGGGAGCCACCCCUCCUCCUCACGCCCUUUUUGAGACAGGGUCUCACUACAGCAAACUGGAACACUACAUGUGCAUCAGGCUGACCUCAGAGUGCUGGGAACAAGGGCACCCCACCUGGAGAGCCUCAGCCCCGCCCCUUGAGAUAGGGUUUCUGCUCAUAUAAGCCUAGCUGAUAUUGCCCAAGGCAGCCUUGAACUCAUAGCAACCAUGCCUCAGCCUUUCCAUGCUGGGAUUGCAGCUGUACACACCUUAUUGAAAUGUCUAACAUUUUUUACUUAUGUCCUUUGAUUUUUUUUUUUUCUAUGCCAAGAGCAAACACAGCUAAAGAAUCUGUCAUGGUCCUCAACUUGUGGCCAGGAGGAUGUGGGACGAUGACCGGCCACUGCCACUCUGCAGAUCCAGAAAGAUCCAAUAAUUCGAUUGGCUGAGAUACAGCUCCUUAUCUACAGGAUACAUCUCUUGAAGGAAGAGCAAGCCCAGGCCUGCAGUUGCGGCCCCAGGCCCUGGCACUCACUACAGACUCCCAAGCUGCUGGCCUCAAUCGCCUGCAGCUCACCUCCUCACGAAGCUCGUAUUGCUCGAUCAACUUCUUGAGCCUCUCGGCUAGCUCCAUAUUCUCCUGGCGCAGCUUGGAGUUUCGCUCGUUAUGCUGUUCCAUCUGCAGCUGAAUGUCAUUCAGUGUCACCUGGAAGUGUGAAGUCACUUCUUUGCGCUUCUCCUCCUCCUCACGGGCUCGCUGCACGCCUUCUUCCUGAAGAAAAGAAUUGUCCAUAGUUGCCAGCCUUGCACAAAGCUCCCCUAACUAGUUCCAAAGUCCAGUCUUUGCCAACAGCGAUUUGGGCCCUGGGGAGCACCAAGGAUGUAGGACGUCAUACAAUGGGGUUUCCUAACAUGCCUCUCUGUAAAUCAGGUGUUAUCAAGCGACUCUCCCAAGAAUACUCAGGGUCCAUGCUAAGUGCCAUUCUGCAACAGCUGGACAGCCUGAAUUCUUGUUCCCAGACUCUAGAUUAAGUAUUUCUGCUUGUUUCAAUUUGUGUCCAUUUUAAUGUCCUUUAGUCCCUCCUGUUCCCCACAGAGAACAAUAUAACAAAAUGUAGUCAUAUUCAGGACUAGCAGAGUUGUAAGAAAUGAGGCACCUAAACAUUCCCACUUUUAUGAAGACAGCCUAGACGAUUCUAUCAAUUAGCCACUUAGUGCUGUGCCCACUGACCCAGCCAUUUCACUUCUGAAAUUUAGUCUGUAGAUAAAAUUCCUCAGCACACAAUUGGUAAAGGACAUGGACACACAUA